rnacentral:rRNA from 1 species
CAAAGAAUUGACGGGACCCGCACAAGCGGUGGAGCAUGUGGUUUAAUUCGACGAUACGCGAAGAACCUUACCUGGCCUUGACAUACUAAAAAGCUUUAAGAGAUUAGAGUGUGCUAGCUUGCUAGAAUUUAGAUACAGGUGCUGCACGGCUGUCGUCAGCUCGUGUCGUGAGAUGUUGGGUUAAGUCCCGCAACGAGCGCAACCCUCGUGUUUAGUUGCUAACAGUUCGGCUGAGAACUCUAAACAGACUGCCUACGCAAGUAGGAGGAAGGUGAGGACGACGUCAAGUCAUCAUGGCCCUUACGGCCAGGGCUACACACGUGCUACAAUGGGGUAUACAAAGAGCAGCGAUACGGUGACGUGGAGCAAAUCUAGAAAAUGCCUCUCAGUUCGGAUUGUAGUCUGCAACUCGACUACAUGAAGUUGGAAUCGCUAGUAAUCGUAGAUCAGCAAUGCUACGGUGAAUACGUUCCCGGGUCUU